UGUAGGUCCACACCUGGGAUCCAAACCAGCAAACUCAGGGUCACCGAAGCGGAGUGCACAAACUGAACCACUGCACUGCUGGGGGGGCCCCUAUCUUUGGUUUCUACCAGUUUGACUAUUAUAUGCUUACACAUGGAUUCCUUUGCCCUCCCCAAGGUUCUCUGAGUUUCCUGAAUCUGUGGAUGAGGAAUGUAGUCUAGCAAUAGGCCUAUGACGAAAAGGAACAAGGGGCUGCACUGCUUUUAUGGUGAAAUGCGUUUGUUGGAAAAAAGCAGUGCUGUGUGGGAUAACAAGACAGGAAAUCAAGCCUGUGAGUUCUGUAAGUCCACAAAGGGGGAACCGGCAGAAGUAUGGUGGUGGGCAGGAAGGCAGAGCUAUCCCGAGACACGUUCCCAAAUAAAUUAGCAAGAUCUCACUUUUCUUUGGGCCUCUCUCCCCCAGGACCUGGCUUGGGAGUUCUCUCCCUGCCAUCCUGGGACCCAGGUCUCCUUGUGGGUCUGGAUGGAAGACGGGGUGAUGGGAGUGACUUUUGGUGAGUAGAAGCGUCUCCUUUAGGUCAUUACAGAGAUAUUUUGUUUAUUUUUAUUAUUAAAUUUUUGUUACAGAGAUGUUGAGCGGAGGAUCAUUUCCUCAAAGGCAGGAGUGAGGUAGAGGAUACUUCCACAGACAAAGGAGAUUUGAAGGAAUCAGCAGGAUUAGGGUGCUUACCCACCUCCAUCCAAAUGUGCCCCUGAGCAGACUUCAGCUCACCAAGCGAGGUGCUGGAAUCCUCGUCACAGAAUGGCUGCACAGCAGCCCAGAGAUUUUCUCUCCAGGGAGGAGUCUGAGCAGAAGCUCAGCUCUUGUUCAGGGAUGCCAGGAAGUCAUCACGGGGUGUUAGACAACAUGUCAGGGCUCUUGCUGGCCUGGCUGUCAGGGCGCCUGGGCUCAGUCCAGGCUCUGUUCUAACUCUGUGGUGCCUUCAGUAGGCCACUGCUCCCUCCUGGGACUGUGUCCCUCCCUCAUCUCUCACAGGAGGAAGACCUGCAGCAGCGUCCUCAAACUCGUAUGAAAACCACAGAACCAUUUCCUCAAGUAAAUGUCAUAUCUAAACUCAAUAUACAUGUGGCUGGGCUACUUUUUAAAUAAUACUUUUGUUUUGCUUUUGGCAUUUUCUUUCUUGUCUUUUUGCAUCAAGGAUCCAGGUUCUUAGUAUGUCCUAGAUACAGAGAUAUUUUUUCGGCUCCAGAUCAGAAGCUGCGUGUCCUCACUGCUCUACCCUCAUGAAGGUACCCACAGUCAUGAAGAGACUGUGUUGCUGCCUGCUUUGUGCACAACAAGGUGGGAAAGGCCAUGCCUGUGAGGGUUACAUGAUCCCAGAAUUCAGGACAAUCUGACCAGCCUGGACAAGGAAGGAGACUUGGGGAAAUUCUGAUGAAAGUCCUUUGGGCUGACAGGAAGCUCGGGAUCUUGGUGAAGACCUGGAGGGGUUCCAUUUUCCAUCCAAAGGAGGCAAGGCCCUGGGUGGCAUUGUUACACGGGAGGGGCCCCCAGAGCCCCCUUCAGGCAGAGGAAGGGAAGACUGAGCUGGCCUCCAUGUGGUCCUGCUCUCCCCAUCUUCCUGGGGUGGGUGGUCUCUGUUUGGGUCUGCGUGGGAGAUCAGAGGCAGUCCUGGGGUCCAGCCCUGGCCUUGAAUGCUCCCCCAGCUUGACCCUGGCCUAAGCCCUUCCCACUGAGCUUCUGUGAGGCUGCACCUCUGGAGCUGCUGCCUGGCUUUGGGUGGCUGUGCUCUCACACAGGUGCGAGCCUGAACUUGGCUCUCUGGGAGUAAUCCCCAGCUUGGGGCUGCAGAGACUUGGAGGAAUGGCCACCAUUUUCUUCAUGCAAAGGCAUAGUUUAACAACAAGUAGCCACAUGAGUGGCAGUCCUGAGAGGGUGCCUGUCCAUACUUAGUCCUGUCAGUGGGGGCGGCUUUUUCUGAGGCAGCUACCCCAGGGGACAUGAUUUCCAAAUGCAAACUUCCAGAUGAGGCGCUGUAUUAGUUUCCUAUGGCCACCGCAACAAAUUCUCACCAACUCGAUGGCUUAAAAGGCUGGAAAUUUAUUCCCUCACAGUUCUGGAGGCCGGAAAUCCAACAUCAGUUUCCCAGGGAAUCUGUUUCUUGCCUCUUCCAGCUUCAGGAAGUGCAUUUCUUGGUCCAUGGCCUCUUCUUUCAUCUUCAAAAUAUACAAAAAUAUAAUUGAAGGAAAUACAAAUAAACCAAGAUAACAGGAAAAAAUUAGCAUUAUCUAAUAUUCACCACCCAGUUACAACCACCAGCAACCAUUUGGUGUACAUUUUAAUAGGCUUUUUGCUAUGCAAAUUUGUAUAGUUUGUAAAAUAAAAAAGGGAUAAUGCUAUACAUAAGAUUUUUUCCCGUUUUAUUGAGAUGUAAUUGACAUAUAGCACUGCAUAUGUUUAAAGUAUACAGCACAAUGACUUGACUUGCUUAUGUUGUGAAAUAGUCAUCACAAUAAGUUUAGUUAACAUCCUUCAUCCCUCUAACGAGGUUUGUCUUGGUCUCUGCAGUGCAGGGGGUGCUUCAGCCUCAGUUCUCUGUUCUAGGAUUUUCUCAGUGGUGUCUUGUUCAUGAAUAGUUGUUAGUCAUUCUUCUCGUGAGGGGGAGCAAAUUCGGGAGUGACCUAUGUUGCCAUCUUGGUGACGUUACUCUCCCACACAUGAGAUUUUGUACCUGAUUCUGUUACUUGGUCAUCUAUGACUGUCAGGAAAUACUAGUCAUCAUUUCAAUGGCUGCUUCUAUUUUGUCAUUUGCAUGUGAUAUAUGAACUUACAAGAAUUUACUUAUUGAUGCUCUUUUUGCUUUAUUUCAAGUUGUUCUCAUUUUUAAAUUUUUUGCUAGUGUAUACCAUACUGCAAUGAACAACCUUUAAGUACUUGUCUCAUUUUCUGAGAAUAAGUACAUAAACUGGCUUUGCUAGUUCAAAGCAUACUUGCUUUUUUUUAACUUAUUGCACACGUUAGCAAAUUGCUAUCUAAAAGGAUAGUACCAAUUUAUGUACUCUAUAUCAAGAAAUUUCUAUGGCAGUUUCUCCACAUAUAUGCCCAAACAGAAUAUUGUCAUUUUUUUAAAUUGUUGCCAGUCCAAUAAGCUAAAGUGUUAACUUGAUGCUUUGAUAAUUUUCUCUUUUGGGAGUGAGAGCAUGCAAAUAGCCAGUUAAAGUUUUUCGCCUGGUUUUCUACAAGGUUCCUAAAGAUCAUAUUUAUGUUUAUAUCAUAUUCCAUUAUGUGGAUAUACCGUAGCUAAUGGUUUCCACUUUGUUAUUUAGGUUGUUUCUCAUUUUUGACAAUUUUAAAUAAUAUUGCGAUGAGCAUCUUUAUGCUCAAAGUUUUUUGUAGAAAUGUGUGAAGGUGUGAGUGUGCCCGUGUUUGUGUCUGUGUGUGUUUCACACUGUUUACAGGAUAGAGUCCCAGCAGCAGAAUUAUUGUGUCAUAUUGUUACCGGCAAAGGGAGGGUCCUCUUCUGAAUGCAAGACAUGCCCAUAGUCAGGAGGCAAAGUGGUGGGAGAGGAAGGAUUUCUUUAUUGCAGCUUGCUAGCAAGAGGGAAGAUGAAGGACUAACGUCCAAAAGAAUCAUUUUACAGAACAAAGACUACAAGCUGCUUAUAUAGGGGGUUGGUCUCCAGGUGGGGAAGGCAGCUGGUCUCUGGGUGGGGCCGCGAUCUGAUCUCCAGGUGGGGGCAGACAUCUGCUCCCAGUUCCUGAUAGCCCUUUGUUUUGUUGAAUAUGCAUUAGAGAAUAGAGCCCUCGCAUACUCAUAGAUUUUUCUAUGUGGUACAAGAUUCCCCCUAACCCAGAAAAGGGAAUUUUUGAAAUUCAGGAAGAGGAUAGGAUCCCAAAGUCAGGAAAGAGUUUGCACACCAGAUUGGAUUAGCUUUUUGUAGGAAUCCUCCUCUGAAGAGAACCAACCUGGGAUGAAUUUGAAGUUUGCUCGCUGAGGUUAAACGAUCCAUUCUUUUAGUGACAAGAGUCCACUAAAAUGUAGUCAUUGAACUAUUUGCUGUGAUUUUGUGAAGUAAAGAGUAACUGGCAAAAUGAAGGGCAGUGGCAAGGUGAAAUAGUUCUAAUUGUCUCCUUCACAAAAUAAACUGAAUCAAGGUUGGUUGAAUAAAUACAAAAGUAACACCCUGACUUCCGUCUUUAGUGAUAGCAGGCCAGGUUAUUUGGACCAACCCUCUGAAUGAAACAAAUUUAAAGGAAAAACAGGGGGAAUAAAACUUUUGAAAGCAUUGACAAACUGACAAGACAGCAAGGGACUGUCAGGUUAAAUUUUGGAUUUAAUUCUGAAACCCAGACAGAUAAGCAGAAGUCAAGACAACUCAAGCUGCUUUUGCCAUGAAGGUAUUUGCCAGCUAGACAACUGGGCCUUGGGUUUUGGUGAUUUCUUGGGGGAAGAGGGACAAAAGUGAAGGCCCUGGGUCCAAGCAAUAUGGAGACUCAAGUAAGAAACUCUCCUCAUGUUAAUCUGGGGCCCCACAGGCUGCCCUUUAGCCUAACAGUGAGCAGAAGUAAAUCUACCCUUGACAGAGAAGAUAGCCUUGGCACUGAACAAUGCAGGAAAAUGGAGAAAAGGGAUAAACAACCAGAUUCUGAGAAGCUGUGACCAGGGACAGCCUUCCUGAAGAUUUGCAGCCUAGGUUCUCAUUGGGUCUCCAGCAGUGGUCUUGAUUUCCAGGUGGUUUAGAAGGGAGAUGCCUCCAGGGGCCAGGCAGAAGCCAUUGCAAAUCCUCUCUGAAGAAGAUACCUUUAUUCCAGGCCUUGGGAAGCCUGCCACUCUCGGCCCCCACCCACCACACAUGCAAAAUCUUUUGAAAAAGUAUCAAACUGCACAUAAUCAAAAUGCCAAAGAACACAUGAAAACGUGACCCCGUGAACGAGAGCCAGCAGAAAUAACUCUUAGUACAGACAGAUCAGCAACUAUGUGCUUGAGAUUUGGAAUUAUCUUGCACAUAUUAUAAUACAAACUUAAAAAUGACUGCAGGAAACAGGAAAAUAUGAAGUGUCAUUACUGAUUGGAUAAAGAACUAGAUAGAAUUUCCAAAUAUAAAAUUGUACUGAAAAUUGUAUUGAAACCAAAGCAGCUUUCCUCCUGGCAAGUGAAAUCAGACUCUCCACCAGAAGGAGCUGACUCAUACAGUAAAGUGUAUUUGCAUCAAAUGGGAGACCAUGAGGAAUCAUUUCUGGAGUCAUGGGGUUCCCGAACAAAGGGAAGAAGGGACUUUUAUUUUAGUUGGAGAACGGGAGUUUCAAAAGGGAGAGGUGGAUGGGAUGGGCCUGCAGGUGCAGCAGUUAAGUUUGCAUG